rnacentral:lncRNA from 1 species
CCCCUUGUACUCCCACAGGGAACUCCUGGAGUGACACACACACGAGCAAACUGGAAGGCCAUGUGUGGUAGCAGAAGUUGCAGCCUAUGGUUAGUCACCACAUGCUGGGAGUAAGAGCUCUUGGGGGACAGUCUGCCCAGUCUCUAAGCUGAAAGACAAGGUGUGAGAACAGGACCCCUCUGGACUGACAGUGGGACGAACAGAACAUCUCUGUUGGGAACCUGGGAGAAAACUCGAGUGAAAGUGAUUUACUGGGUCACAGAGUCCAAUCUACUGUAUUCACAGUCAGCUCCUCCUUCCAAUGCCCAGCCAGCACCAACAGCUCCAUUCACUCUGGAGUAUCUCCCGAAGAGAAUUUGCCAAAGGAAAUACUGCAGAGCACAUUCAUAGUUCUUCAGUACCCCCUCUUACUGCUCCUAGUGCUGAUAGAACUGUCAACAGUUUUCUUUACUUUGCCCAUGUUCUUUCACAUUUACCUCCUGAAGAAGGCUGAGCUGACCAUCCUUCAGACAAUUUCUGCUGCUUUUUCUCUGACAUCCAACAAGUACAGUCUGAUUGUAUCUCUACUGGGUCUCUCAGUAGUGAUUAAAAACUUUGAGUAA